rnacentral:rRNA from 1 species
GACGAACGCUGGCGGCGUGCUUAACACAUGCAAGUCGAACGGAAAGGCCCUGCUUGCAGGGUACUCGAGUGGCGAACGGGUGAGUAACACGUGGGUGAUCUGCCCUGCACUUCGGGAUAAGCCUGGGCAACUGGGUCUAAUACCGGCUAGGAGCCAUUUUUAGUGUGAUGGUUGGAAAGUUUUUUCGGUGUAGGAUGAGCUCGCGGCCUAUCAGCUUGUUGGUGGGGUAAUGGCCUACCAAGGCGGCGACGGGUAGCCGGCCUGAGAGGGUGGACGGCCACAUUGGGACUGAGAUACGGCCCAGACUCCUACGGGAGGCAGCAGUGGGGAAUAUUGCACAAUGGGCGCAAGCCUGAUGCAGCGACGCCGCGUGGGGGAUGACGGCCUUCGGGUUGUAAACUCCUUUCGCUAGUGACGAAGCUUUUUGUGACGGUACCUAGAUAAGAAGCACCGGCUAACUACGUG